UUGCUUCAGUUGUGUUCAGUCAUCCAGUCCUUUCCUGCUACACUUGCAAGAGGAAGCAAGCAAAACAUGAAUGAAAAGUCCCACUGGGCUGUUGAAGACUGGAACACCUGCAAAAAUUUGCGGCAAUAACCCCAGGGUAUUUUUGACUUGUUCUAUAUAGCAUUUGUUCAUUUCCCUUCUCCUAUGGUAUUCUGAAUAAGGCACUCAGUAUCAUCCACCCACUAGAAUAGAGGCAGAGAGAACAUAUAUGGCUUAAUUCGGGGCAUUAAAAAACAAAGCAUAACACCUAUGUACUUACUGGAUCAAACAUAAUUAUCCAAUGAUUCAGUCUUCUGGGGUACAUUUUCAAAUCUACUGAUCUCACAACUACGUUCCUGAACAAAGCAUGUAGAGUUGCAGACGUGCCCCAGAGCAAUGCUUGUUAGGUAGCUUGGAGUGUGUCGGGAUCUAUAAUCCAGGUAAAUAUUGGGGAGCUGCCUGGGACAGAGGUGGAAAGGCUUUGCCCAUUGUCUUUUUUUUCCAGGCACUUAGGACUUUGCAGAAAGAGGAAGGAAGCAGCAUGGAGGCUGAGAGCAAGGAGUACAACAUCUGACUGAGGAGGAGACUUAAGAUGUGUGGAGGUGAAAAAGCAAGCUCUGAAAGCCAAAUCAAUUGCAGAAAAGAUCCAGUGAAGCCUCAUGAACUCAGAUAUCUUCUUAAAGGUGGAGGACACAAAUAAAUGAGAUUUGGACACUCCAAGUAAUACAUACAUCGCAAUCAGAGGAGAAGAGUUCCACCCCAAUGUAUGAAAUACAUCUUUGGUGACACAGGUCUGCAAGCAGUCUGCUUCAAAACUGCAGGUACAUAUUACCUUACGGGCAGGUGGCAUAAUUUCCAAAAUGUAACAUAACAUUAAGAAAUGGAUAACCUGC
rnacentral:lncRNA from 1 species